rnacentral:lncRNA from 1 species
CCGGCCGUCCAUCUUGAUGAGCAAAAGAACCGACCCGGCAUUCUGGUCCUGCCCCAGAGCGAUGGAGUUGUACGGAGCGAUGGGGACGUCGGUGCCGUAGAUGAACGGCGACCAGAUGUUGACGUCCUUGUGGCCUUGGUAUACCGGCGGGAUGAGCGUCGGGAACGUGAUCUGCUGCGCACGAUAGGUCGCGUAGAUGUUGAGCCUGUCGUAGUAGAUGCCAAUCUUGUCGUUAGGGUUUCGGGAGGAGAUGGUGACCUGGAAGCUGGAGGAGAAGACGUUGGAGGCGGAGGUGUUGAAGUUGAAGACGGUGACGUCUUGGAGGACGAAGCGGGGCUUGGAGGGCUGGAGGAUGGCCCACACGAUGAGGAUUGUGACAAGGAGGAUGAAGUUGAAGAUUAGGAGGCCAGCGCAACAGCGGCGGAACAUCCUCCGCCGCUUGUUUUGGCGAUGCAGUCCACAAUCCUUCGUUGACAUGGCGGUUGGUGUGGCAGAGAAAGUAGAGAAGAUGGUUGAGUUGAGUUUGUAGUCUCUGUCUCUC